rnacentral:sRNA from 1 species
GCCGGUCUCGCGAAUGCUCUAGAUUAAAGUUUGAUCCUGGCUCAGGCUGGAACUUNUCCUUAGAGUUUGAUCCUGGCUCAGGUUGGAUCACCUCCUUAGAGUUUGAUCCUGGCUCAGGCUGGAUCACCUCCUUAGAGUUUGUUCAUGGCUCAGGUUGGAACACCUCCUUAGAGUUUGAUCAUGGCUCAGGUAGAGUUUGAUCAUGGCUCAGGCUGGAUCACCUCCUUAGAGUUUGAUCAUGACUCAGGCUGGAACACCUCCUUAGAGUUUGAUCCUGGCUCAGGUUGGAUACACCUCCUUGGAGUUUGAUCAUGGCUCAGAUGAACGCUGGCGGCGUGCCUUAAUACAUGCAAGUCGAGCGAACUUGGAUUCAAAGAGACUUGAUCU